rnacentral:rRNA from 1 species
CAGCCCCGCGGUAAUACGAAGGGUGCAAGCGUUACUCGGAAUUACUGGGCGUAAAGCGUGCGUAGGUGGUGGUUUAAGUCCGUUGUGAAAGCCCUGGGCUCAACCUGGGAAUUGCAGUGGAUACUGGGUCACUAGAGUGUGGUAGAGGAUAGUGGAAUUUCCGGUGUAGCAGUGAAAUGCGUAGAGAUCGGAAGGAACAUCUGUGGCGAAGGCGACUAUCUGGGCCAACACUGACACUGAGGCACGAAAGCGUGGGGAGCAAACAGGAUUAGAUACCCGCGUAGUCCCUGUCUCUUAUACC